AUUCUUGCAACAUUACUGCAGCCUGUCGUGUUGUUGAUACAUUGUAGCAGUUUGGUUGCGGUCUCUACUUUUGCAACAGUGUAUGAAGAACCAACGUUGGCGCGAUGUUUAUACACUUUCAAUCAAAGACAACGUUUAUGUUUUUUUCAUAAUCAUUCAAUAUAAUCAUGUAGGGCAGGUGAUAUUAAUUUCCCAUAGUGGUUUUGAUCAGUCUGUCUUAGUUCUGGGGACCAACAACAGACCUGUUAAACAUGCACGCAUUUUGCGUACCAACUACGCAGUUCUCUGUCCAUGUACGCAGAUUGUAGACAUCAUGUGGAUGGGAAAUGGCAUCAGAAGCUACUGGCAGCUACAGCAUCAACCCCAGUUAUAGCAACCUUUUCCCACCAAGUCAGGGAUUUGACUUAUUUAAUUUUUAUUUAACUAGGCAAGCCAGUUAAGAACACAUUCUUAUUUACAACGAUGGCCUAGGAACAGUGGGUUAACUGCCUUGUUCCCCCCGAGACUCCACCGGGCUCCCCCGAGCCUCCACCGGGCUCCCUUGAGCCCGGAUCCCUCACCUGGCUCCCCCGAGCCCCCACCGGGCUCCCCCGAGCCCGGAUCCCUCACAUGGCUCCCCCGAGCCUCUGGAAGCAAAGUCAUGCCAUCCUCCAUCAAAUGUGGACCUACUGACAAAACCUUCGACCUUUCGGCUGUGAUGCUGGAGAUAUUGGUCAUAUUCCACAGCAAUGCAGACUGUGAAGAAGGUUUCAAUGAUUGCCAGAGGAACUGUUUGUCAUAGAGAAGUCUACCCUGAUGCUUCUCUGCGUAAGGCUAAAUCUGCUAGCUACCAGGCAAAUCUGUCUAGGAAAUGGAAGAUUUGUUCUCACCACUGUUUCCUGUCGUAGCCUUUUCCUUUUUAUUAUGGAUAGCAUGCUGAUUUGAUACUGAUGCUCUGCUCAAACAUUUGUUCUUAUCAUAUCAGAGUUUAAAAAUAAAUAUUGUGGCUUAGACAUUUUGUACCUAAACAAAUAACUUGUUAUUAUUUGUUUUCA